AGGACGAACGCUUGCGACGUGCCUAAGAAAUGCAAGUCGAACGGACAGUAGCAAUACUGUUAGUGGCGAACGGUCGCGUAACACGUGGGCAACCUGCCCUGAAGCGGGGGACAACAACUCGAAAGAGUUGCUAAUACCGCAUGUGGAUCGCUCUGGCAUCAGAGAUUAUCCAAAGCCUUCGGGCACUUCAGGAUGGGCCCGCGGCCUAUCAGCUUGUUGGUGAGGUAACGGCCCACCAAGGCUUCGACGGGUAGCUGGUCUGAGAGGACGAUCAGCCGGAUUGGGACUGAGAUACGGCCCAGACUCCUACGGGGGGCAGGCAAUUAGGAAUCUUGCACAAUGGGCGAAAGCCUGAUGCAGCGACGUCGCGUGAGGGAUGAAGUCUUUCGGGACGUAAACCUCUUUAUCGGGGAAGAACAAUGACGGUACCCGGUGAAUAAGCCCGGCUAACUACGUGCCAGCAGCCGC
rnacentral:rRNA from 1 species